rnacentral:rRNA from 1 species
UGGCGAACGGGUGAGUAACGCGUGAGGAACCUGCCUCAAAGAGGGGGACAACAGUUGGAAACGACUGCUAAUACCGCAUAAGCCCACGGGUCGGCAUCGACCAGAGGGAAAAGGAGCAAUCCGCUUUGAGAUGGUCUCGCGUCCGAUUAGCUAGUUGGUGAGGUAAUGGCCCACCAAGGCGACGAUCGGUAGCCGGACUGAGAGGUUGAACGGCCACAUUGGGACUGAGACACGGUCCAAACUCCUACGGGAGGCAGCAUG